GUCUCACUCCAAAUUCCCUUGCUUCAGUAAGCUUCUCUAAGCCAAUGUUCCUUUGGCAUUACCCAUUUUCUUCCUAUGAAUGCAAAUCACAUAAACAUGGAAGUACAUUUGACCAUUUUAAUUGUUUAACAUUCCAUGUCACACGACCUUCCACAAUAGAAUCAAUGUAUUAA
rnacentral:lncRNA from 1 species